rnacentral:sRNA from 1 species
GCCAGGUGUGGUGGCGCAUGUCUGCAAUUCCAGCAGCUUGGGAGGCUGAGACAGGAGGCUCACAAGUUCAAAGCCAGCCUCAAUAAAAGUGAGGUGCUAAGCAACUGUGAAAUCCUGUAUCUA